rnacentral:rRNA from 1 species
AUUGAACGCUGGCGGCAGGCCUAACACAUGCAAGUCGAGCGGAUGAAGGGAGCUUGCUCCUGGAUUCAGCGGCGGACGGGUGAGUAAUGCUUAGGAAUCUGCCUGGUAGUGGGGGAUAACGUCCGGAAACGGGCGCUAAUACCGCAUACGUCCUGAGGGAGAAAGUGGGGGAUCUUCGGACCUCACGCUAUCAGAUGAGCCUAGGUCGGAUUAGCUAGUUGGUGGGGUAAAGGCCUACCAAGGUGACGAUCCGUAACUGGUCUGAGAGGAUGAUCAGUCACACUGGAACUGAGACACGGUCCAGACUCCUACGGGAGGCAGCAGUGGGGAAUAUUGGACAAUGGGCGAAAGCCUGAUCCAGCCAUGCCGCGUGUGUGAAGAAGGUCUUCGGAUUGUAAAGCACUUUAAGUUGGGAGGAAGGGCAGUAAGUUAAUACCUUGCUGUUUUGACGUUACCAACAGAAUAAGCACCGGCUAACUUCGUG